UGACAUGAGUGCAUGGAACAAACCUGGC
rnacentral:piRNA from 1 species